rnacentral:rRNA from 1 species
UACGUAGGCAGCGAGCGUUGUUCGGAAUUACUGGGCGUAAAGAGUGUGUAGGCGGUGCUCUAAGUUCGGUGUGAAAUCUCCUGGCUCAACUGGGAGGGUGCGCCGGAAACUGGAGUGCUUGAGCGUGGGAGAGGAAAGCGGAAUUCCUGGUGUAGCGGUGAAAUGCGUAGAUAUCAGGAGGAACACCGGUGGCGAAGGCGGGUCUCUGGGCCGGAUACUGACGCUGGAGGAGCGAAAGCGUGGGGAGCGAACAGG